CGUGGGUAACCUGCCCUGAAGUGUGGGAUACCACGACGAAAGUCGUGUUAAUACCACAUGUGGUCUUGGCCUCGCAUGGGGCUGAGAAAAAAGGCGGCCUCGACCGAAAGGUUGCUGUCGCUUCAGGAGGGGCCUGCGUCCCAUCAGCUAGUUGGUAGGGUAACGGCCUACCAAGGCGUAUGACGGGUAGUUAACCUUAGAGGGUGGUUAGCCACACUGGGACUGAGACACUGCCCAGACUCCUACGGGAGGCUGCAGUCGAGAAUCUUUGGCAAUGGGCGAAAGCCUGACCAUGCGACGCCGCGUGCGGGAUGAAGGCUUUCGGGUCGUAAACCGCUGUUACGAGGAACGAAGGUCCGCGACACGGACACUGGAGCGGAUUUGACGGUACCUCGAGAGAAAGCCACGGCUAACUCCGUGCCAGCAGCCGCGGUAAUACGGAGGUGGCAAGCGUUGCUCGGAUUCACUGGGUGUAAAGGGCGUGUAGGCGGUUCUGCAAGCCCUGCCUGAAAUCCGUCGGCUCAACCGACGGCUGUGGCAGGGGACUGCUGGACUUGAGGACGGGAGAGGCGAGCGGAAUUCCCGGUGUAAGGGUGAAAUCUGUAGAUAUCGGGAGGAACACCAGUGGCGAAAGCGGCUCGCUAGUCCGUUUCUGACGCUGAGAUGCGAAAGCUUAGGGGAGCAAAACAGGAUUAGAUACCCUGGUAGUCCUAGCCGUAAACGAUGAGCACUAGGUGUUGGCUCCGUCAGGAGUCAGUGCCGCAGAUAACUCGUUAAGUGCUCCACCUGAGGAGUACGGCCGCAAGGUUGAAACUCAAAGGAAUUGACGGGGGCCAGCACAAGCGGUGGAACAUGUGGUUCAAUUCGAUGCUACGCGAAGAACCUUACCCAGGCUUGACAUACAGGAAGUAGGAACCUGAAAGGGUAACCACUCGUAACCAGUCGAGAGCUUGUACAGGUGCUGCAUGGCUGUCGUCAGCUCGUGCCGUGAGGUGUUGGCUUAAGUGCCACAACGAGCGCAACCAUUGCCUAUAGUUGCCAGCGGGUUCCGCAAGGGAUGCCGGGCACUCUAUCGGGACUGCCAGCGAUGAGCUGGAGGAAGGUGGUGAUGACGUCAAGUCCGUACGGCUUUUAUGCCUGGGGCUACACACGUGUUACAAUGGCGUGGACAACGCGCUGCAAACCCGCGAGGGCAAGCUAAUCG
rnacentral:rRNA from 1 species